CAGCCUGGGAGCACAGUUCAGAUUCUUGGGGCAGAAAAGGCUCUUUUCAGAGCUCUAAAGACGAAGCAUUCAACUCCCAAAUACGGGUUAAUUUUCCAUGCAUCCUUGGUUGGUCAGGCAGCACCUAAGACAAAGGGGAAAAUUUCCAGAUCGCUAGCUGCUAAAGCAGCACUGGCAAUUCGAUAUGAUGCUCUUGGAGAU
rnacentral:misc_RNA from 1 species